AUGAGGGCCUGAGGCAGACACAGAAGGAACAUUCGCAAACUCUGACUUUCAGGAAGACAAGAGAAAUGGCUGUCAGCGCUCCUGUGAGUCCACCAGGCGGGGGCGCUGCUCAGUCUCGGGGCGGGUGGGGGGCUCUUUGUCUUCGGGAAGGCCCCGGGCCUGGGACCUCCAGCUGGACGGGUGGGAUGCCUGGCUCCCAGUUCCUGCACUUGCGUCUCUAGAGCAGCUUUGGGAGAGGCGGAGCACCAGGUCAGAAGGCCAGCUGUUCGAGGAGAAACCGCCCAGGCGCCCACGUACCUGCGGGUGGUACCGGCCAAUGUCGGUGAGAAGCUGGUGGAUGAGGCGUCCCACCAGGGGCCUGGGCGUAUCAAUUCUUGCAAUGAGCUGAGGUAUGACCUGGUAUUCAGAAAGACCCGGAAUGCAGCACGUGAGACACAGAAACAACUAGUUAUUCUCCUGGGCAACGACCAGCUCUUACAACUUGUCACGGUAGAUGCUGGGAAGCUCUGAAACGGUUCGUUCCCUUCAGUCCUCUGGGAGAAACUAAAGAAACUAUGGCUCGACCCCUACCUCUUUACCACUGUUGACUGAACACGCGCGACUCCGGGAGGAGGCAGACCAGGAGUGAGUCCGACCCUGCCUUACCUGUAACCACGUGUCAAUCUGGAUCGCCUUCACCCCCUCCACCAAGGCUUCGUUUACGUCCGGCCAGUGACCGUAAUCAAACCACAGGGUGAGGACCCUGGAAACAAAACAUGAGAAAGUCACAGAAAACUUAGUCUCCCAGCUUGUGCGUGUGUGUGUUUUAAUCUUCAAGGCUCUUGAGAAAAGAAUUAACUGGCAGGGCCUCAAAUCGGUGGCUCCCCAGCGUUUGGUCUCGGGACCGCCUGGGAGGGUGGGUGGUGAUGGCCGUUUAGAACUGGGCUCACACGAGGAGGGGCAUCCCAAGCGAAUGCUUAUUUUAUCCCAGAUAAAAUCCCAGAGGGAUCGGCACGGUGCGAGCUCGGAAAUCGGACAGAUGAGCCCGGGGCUAAUCACGGAUAGUCUCUGCACGUAUAGAAAAUCACCUGUAGAACAGUGUCAACGGGCUAAAUGUGGGACUUAGCUGCCCCUUGUCACCUAUGGUCUCCGGACUGGCCGGUCUGUGCCAUGUUUAGGCCUUCCUAAGUGGCCUCUAAAAGCCGAGGGCAUUUCGGCACUCAGGCUUCCUCCUGACAGAACACAGCACACGGAGUGCUCCCAGGCCACUUCCUCCUCCUGGGUCUCGGCAGGGGGAGGCCUGUCAGCAGUUCCCUUUGGACACACCCAUCAGGGUGGGGCGGGGGAGGGGACCUCCGUGUCAUUCCGUGUCCCGCAGAGGCUCACGCAGCCUAGCAGGGCCCGCCCUUCGAUACCUCAGCGUGUCCUGGAGGUUGUUGCCUCGCGACAAGGAGAUAGAACGGAAGAAGCCCUGGACGGCAGGGACGGUGUACAUCAAGAGGGUUUUGGACAAAUCCUGUUGGAAUACACAUUCUUGCCUUAGUGUUCCCAUCCGUUAAGAGGGGAUCCGUAAGAGCAGCAUCCCAACAGUAUCUACCUCAAGGAGUGGUUACCAAGUUAAAUCAGUUAAUGCAUGACGAGCCUCUGGACUAGUACCUGCACACAGCAAGCACUCAAUAAAUGGCAACUGUGUCAUAAUCGCUAUCAUCUUGGGCUAACGGUGGCUUCCUGAGCAGGGUGGCAGGAGGAGGGGCACGGAGUCUGAACACGCUGCUCUCUGAACUGACAGCCCGGAGGGAGGCGGGGCGCGGGGGGGAAAGGCGAAGGCAGAGGACGGAUCCCGUCAGCCUCUGUCCUCAAGUGGACCCGCAGAUGUGCACGGCCACCCACGCGCGCAGGUGCAGGGCUUUCAGGGAAUGAGCUCAUUCUCAUGGGAAGAACGACAAGAAACUCAAUCUUCAGCUUUGGGGCCAUAGCAACGCCUCAAAUACAAAUACGAGCACAAGGGCACCGUCUCAAACAAUGGCGGAUGGCAAAUGAGCAACAUCGUCUAGCUAUGCGCCUUUUGAUCCCAGAGGGAUUAAAUCACAAAGUAUCAACAAGUUAAAGAAAUACUGGAAAGAAGUGAUGACAUCUGUUACACCAUGCGGCCAUUACCAGGAGGUCCCUGAGGAAGGUCUAAAAACUCAGGUCUCCUAUGCCAUAACAGGAUGUUACCCAGAGCUUUCCAAUACAAAUAAGAGAAAGUCAAGUUCUCAGAUGAGGACCAGGCAGGGAUGGAAAUCAGGAAGAAGCCGGGAAGGAGCGGAUGACCCAAGGGAAGACAGAGUUCCAGAGAUGAACUGUGUGUCCAGAUGCUCGUAGGAAAACAAUCCGCUAAGAGUCUAGAAGACAACAUCAUUCCCCAGAGCCA